rnacentral:rRNA from 1 species
AUACGUAGGGGGCGAGCGUUGUCCGGAAUGAUUGGGCGUAAAGGGCGCGUAGGCGGCGCGGUAAGUCUGGAGUGAAAGUCCUGCUUUCAAGGUGGGAAUUGCUUUGGAUACUGCCGCGCUUGAGUGCAGGAGAGGUUAUCGGAAUUCCCGGUGUAGCGGUGAAAUGCGUAGAGAUCGGGAGUAACACCAGUGGCGAAGGCGGGUAACUGGACUGCAACUGACGCUGAGGCGCGAAAGUGUGGGGAGCAAACAGGAUUAUAUACCCUGGUAGUCCACACUGUAAACGAUGAAUGCUAGGUGUAAGAGGUAUCGACCCCUUUUGUGCCGGAGUCAACACAAUAAGCAUUCCGCCUGGGGAGUACGGCCGCAAGGUUGAAACUCAAAGGAAUUGACGGGG